rnacentral:lncRNA from 1 species
AGAGGAACCAGUGGAUUCGAGACAGGAAGUGGAAGGAGCUCAGGAAGGAGUGAGCCGUCUCAGGGUGGGAGGCUCAGGAGCCAGCAGGCGAGUGGGAUGUGGCUUUGGGGUGCUGCUUUGGUGAGGGGCCUUCGGUGACUUUUCUGAGUGCAGUCAGUUGUAGGGGUGGGUGCCGGCUCCCACAGAAGAGCCAAGCGUUCUGCAGGAGACCAACGUGUGCACUGGGAAUUCCCAGGUGCGUGUCCUGGCACACGGCCCAGAGGCACCUGACAAGGCUCAGUGCACCAGGCACACAGUGGACUGUUGGUGCCUGAUCCAACGAGGGAGUGAGUGAGGGCCGAGACACAGGUGCGGGGAUGCAUGGAACGGGGGUACAGUCAGGUGGAGAGUCAUGCUGUGGGGUCCGGGAGAGAUGGGUUCGAGAAUAAAUGGGACGGGGGUACAUUUCGGUGGAGAGUCAUGCUGCUGCGGUCUGGGAAAUGUGUUUUUGCUUCUAUCUGAGAAACUGUACCUGAGUGUGUCUGUGCUUUGACAUUUAAUCUGUGCACUAUCCUCCGCAGGGUGCAUAUCUCUGUGGCAGAGGAUACCCCGGGCACAGUGGAUGACAGUGGCUGUGGCUGGACUCGGGAUCUAUACAACCUGGCGUUUGGCCGUGGCUUCCAGGACAGGCUGGAUGCAGAGUGAAGUCCUCUCCUGUCAAUGUUUGCAGAUGUCUUCCUGUAUAAACUUCAUAUUUCUUGAGACUUUCAAUUAGGUUUUUACUUAACUAGACUUUUUUAUAUUACUAAAGUUCUAGAGUACAUGUGCAUAACAUGCAGGUUUGUUACAUAUGUAUACUUGUGCCAUGUUGGUGUGCUACACCCAUCAACUCGUCAUU